CUAUGCAGACAGAGCGAAUGACAGACAUGGAAAACAAACAAACAAAGCAUUAUCACUGCGCACAUACAUGUUCCCAGGGGAUGCAGUAUGCUCAAAGACAAGUAGCAUGACCUGAGGGUUGAAGAUAUGACUAUGGAGAGGGCAGCGGCAAAGGAUGAUCAUGUGUUGGUAGUGAGGUUAUUCAAUGGAGAAAGAAGCUGGAUUUACGGAUGCGUUUUUGGAGACGAGUGAGUGGUAUGGUAGCGAUAGUGUUGAUCGUACAAAUGAAGAUGGAAGUAAAAAUGAUGAUGAUAGCAGCGACAAUGAAUCCUGGUCGUCGUACGAUAAUUUACCCGAAGAGGACUUUCAAAAGAAGGAGGAUGGUGCUUGUAUGUGCAGGAGGAUAUUGACAUCCAGAACGAGGAGAAUUAUG